rnacentral:misc_RNA from 1 species
GGGAAGGACAUGAUGACUUUGGUUAUAGUGGAGCAGAAAAGUCAAGUAAACAUCGGAGUGAGGAUCAUCGAAAGAGUAGUCGAGGGGAGGAAAAAGACCAUAGAAGUAAAGAUCGAGAACGAUCUAAGAGAUCUAGUGAUGAUGCAUCGAAAGAAAAGGAGAAAGAGGUAAAAGAUUCAGAUAGGGAUCGAGUUCGUAGUCGGGAAAAGAGGAAGGAAGACAGAGAUGAGCAUGAAAAAGAAAGGAGCAGGGGCAGCAAAGUUAAAGACAAAGAUUAUGACAGAGAGAUUUACAAGGAGAAAGAAUAUGAGAGAGAGAGAGACAGAAAAGAUCGAGGAAAGGAUAGAGAGCGUGAGAGGGAAAGAGAGCUGGAGAAGGACAAUGUUCGAGGACAAGACAAAGAGAGGGGAAAGGAGAAAGACAAAGACAGGGACAGAGAUAGGGAUAGGGAUAGGAAGAAGA